AAAACUGUUCUUUGGUGUGUGGACGUGAUUACCGUUUGCCAGACCUGGGCUUAUUGACAUCCCUGAUGACAUCACUGAUGACAUCCCUUAUG